rnacentral:rRNA from 1 species
UACGUAGGGGGCAAGCGUUGUCCGGAAUUAUUGGGCGUAAAGAGCGCGUAGGCGGUCCGAUAAGUCGGCUGUGAAAGUCAAGGGCUCAACCCUUGAAAGCCGGCCGAUACUGUCGGACUAGAGUCCGGAAGAGGCGAGUGGAAUUCCCGGUGUAGCGGUGAAAUGCGCAGAUAUCAGGAGGAACACCAAUUGCGAAGGCAGCUCGCUGGGACGUUACUGACGCUGAGACGCGAAAGCGUGGGGAGCAAACAGG